GAUAGUUUUGCAAAAGAAAACUGACGCCAGAAUUGAAGUUAUUAUUCUAUCUUGUCACCAAGAUCUUGCUGAGGCUACAACAACUUCCCAGUUGAUUAUAUGUACAUCUUAAACUGUGUACAAAUUACAAAUUGAAAACAGUUCGUAAUGUAACAAACAUCUUGAUGGUUUUAUGUUAGCUGUAAAGAAAUCAGUUGUUCAUUCAUGCGAGAGGAAAUUUCAAACUCCUAGAAAAAGUCAUUUACAGUUAUAAAAGUCUCGGACUUGUUUAAGAGUCCUUCCCCAAACGAAUUUUCAAGUGGAUCACUAAAUUAAUAAAGCAUUUUCAUUACUUAACAUGCAGGUGGAGAGUUCUAUAUCAGUGUUUUCAUGUUAAGCAAAUGAGGGAAUAUUUUGUGAAAACUGAGUAGCAAUCAGUAGAAUAAAUAAUGAAUCAUUUGCUUGAUAGUUAGUUAAACUAUUAAGAAGUAUGAAUAUUUUCUAUAUUUUACAAUGUCUGCUUGCUUAAUUAAAUAUUUUCUGUGUAUCUGUGCAUACCGCAUGAUUUGACAAUAAAGAAUAGAUAAGACAGUCA